CACACACACACACACGAAGAAAAAAAAAACCGUGCAUACCAGUGCAAGUCCAUUGUUCAGUCGUGAUCAACAGAACACUGUAUUGCGUGCUAAAAACAUUUAAUCUGUUUCGUAUACAAAAGGAAUCGAUUUGACUCUGGAGCAUGACAGGACCUUUGUUUUUUCAUUUACUUUUCCAAGCUGUUCUGCUGUUUGAUACUUUAGCAUGGGAAGUGAAAAUGCCAAAAGACAUUCAUGGCCUCCAGGGUUCCUGUCUGGUUAUACCAUGUUCUUUCUCUUACACAUCAUACCCACCAAAAAACCCACGUAGAAUUGUGUGGUAUCAGUGGGUCUCCAAAGGUUAUCCUUUAGUUUAUGAUCCUUGGCAUGCAGGUGAUAUCAUUAAGAAGUUUAGAGGAAAAACUGAUUUAUAUGGAAAAUCGAAUUGGGAUUGCAGUCUGCUGAUCAAAAACCUUGAACAGACUCAUCAUGGAGAGAAACUGUAUGCAUGGAUUGACCCUGAAAACAUUGGAUGGCGCACCUACGCAUUUUAUGAUGUCACCUCCACAAUUCUAGUUGAUGCAAGUCCACAGCAGCCCAGCAUCAGUAUUUAUGGAGGUGAAAAGAUGGGUGACACCAUCACAGUAGCAUGUUCGACUUUCCACACGUGUCCAUACAGCAAUCCAAACAUCAUUCUAAACGGAACUGAAGGAUCUGAUCAAUUAGACAAUGAGCAUAUUGAAGACGGCCUGUGGAAAAUCACCCUGACACGCACAAGCGUUGUGAAGACAGAAAGCUUAGAAAUUGAGUGUUCUGUAACGUAUCAUGGUGGCAUAACAGUGACAGCUACAAAAAAUAAAAGUUCACAGUCCCCUAUCCAUUAUGAGGCAGGACAAAACCACUGGAUUGAAGACUCUACAUUUCCUAGUGCCCUCACUUGUGUUCCUCCUCGUUUGCAUACUUGCUGGAGUCAUCAUAUACAAGAAAAGAAAUGGACAACUGAGUAUGUCUGAAAGAAGAACAGAUUGGACAAACAGGGAAGACAGGAGUGAUAUCAGAACCGACACAUGUGGAAACAAGCCUUUCUCCAAACCCCGUAUGCCAUCACCAAAGAGUGAGCCAAAAUCCUACUCAAAUUAUGAUGCUGAAUACACUAACAUGGAUGAACUCAACAUGUAUGGAAACAUCUGAUGAAACAAGUUUUUGUACAGCAAAACACAUACAGCAGAUAGUAUACUUUUAGAAAUAUUGUCAGACUCUGUUCAUGUAUUAAUAUAGCAUUAGAAACAAGAUAAACAUCACUUGCUAUAUCACCCAAAAUAAAUCAUCAGCAAAGUCGUCUUAUGUGUUCUCUAAAUAAAUUAAUGGUCAUUUGUUCCAGGCUUUAAUAAACCAAAGAUCAUGGUA